rnacentral:rRNA from 1 species
AGCUUGCUGUUGGUGGAUGAGUGGCGAACGGGUGAGUAACACGUGAGUAACCUGCCCCUGAUUUCGGGAUAAGCCUGGGAAACUGGGUCUAAUACCGGAUACGACCACCUGACGCAUGUUGGGUGGUGGAAAGUUUUUCGAUCGGGGAUGGGCUCGCGGCCUAUCAGCUUGUUGGUGGGGUAAUGGCCUACCAAGGCGACGACGGGUAGCCGGCCUGAGAGGGCGACCGGCCACACUGGGACUGAGACACGGCCCAGACUCCUACGGGAGGCAGCAGUGGGGAAUAUUGCACAAUGGGGGAAACCCUGAUGCAGCGACGCAGCGUGCGGGAUGACGGCCUUCGGGUUGUAAACCGCUUUCAGCAGGGAAGAAGCGAAAGUGACGGUACCUGCAGAAGAAGUACCGGCUAACUACGUGCCAGCAGCCGCGGUAAUACGUAGGGUACGAGCGUUGUC